ACGCUGGCGGCGUGCCUAAUACAUGCAAGUCGAACGAACUCUGGUAUUGAUUGGUGCUUGCAUCAUGAUUUACAUUUGAGUGAGUGGCGAACUGGUGAGUAACACGUGGGAAACCUGCCCAGAAGCGGGGGAUAACACCUGGAAACAGAUGCUAAUACCGCAUAACAACUUGGACCGCAUGGUCCGAGCUUGAAAGAUGGCUUCGGCUAUCACUUUUGGAUGGUCCCGCGGCGUAUUAGCUAGAUGGUGGGGUAACGGCUCACCAUGGCAAUGAUACGUAGCCGACCUGAGAGGGUAAUCGGCCACAUUGGGACUGAGACACGGCCCAAACUCCUACGGGAGGCAGCAGUAGGGAAUCUUCCACAAUGGACGAAAGUCUGAUGGAGCAACGCCGCGUGAGUGAAGAAGGGUUUCGGCUCGUAAAACUCUGUUGUUAAAGAAGAACAUAUCUGAGAGUAACUGUUCAGGUAUUGACGGUAUUUAACCAGAAAGCCACGGCUAACUACGUGCCAGCAGCCGCGGUAAUACGUAGGUGGCAAGCGUUGUCCGGAUUUAUUGGGCGUAAAGCGAGCGCAGGCGGUUUUUUAAGUCUGAUGUGAAAGCCUUCGGCUCAACCGAAGAAGUGCAUCGGAAACUGGGAAACUUGAGUGCAGAAGAGGACAGUGGAACUCCAUGUGUAGCGGUGAAAUGCGUAGAUAUAUGGAAGAACACCAGUGGCGAAGGCGGCUGUCUGGUCUGUAACUGACGCUGAGGCUCGAAAGUAUGGGUAGCAAACAGGAUUAGAUACCCUGGUAGUCCAUACCGUAAACGAUGAAUGCUAAGUGUUGGAGGGUUUCCGCCCUUCAGUGCUGCAGCUAACGCAUUAAGCAUUCCGCCUGGGGAGUACGGCCGCAAGGCUGAAACUCAAAGGAAUUGACGGGGGCCCGCACAAGCGGUGGAGCAUGUGGUUUAAUUCGAAGCUACGCGAAGAACCUUACCAGGUCUUGACAUACUAUGCAAAUCUAAGAGAUUAGACGUUCCCUUCGGGGACAUGGAUACAGGUGGUGCAUGGUUGUCGUCAGCUCGUGUCGUGAGAUGUUGGGUUAAGUCCCGCAACGAGCGCAACCCUUAUUAUCAGUUGCCAGCAUUAAGUUGGGCACUCUGGUGAGACUGCCGGUGACAAACCGGAGGAAGGUGGGGAUGACGUCAAAUCAUCAUGCCCCUUAUGACCUGGGCUACACACGUGCUACAAUGGAUGGUACAACGAGUUGCGAACUCGCGAGAGUAAGCUAAUCUCUUAAAGCCAUUCUCAGUUCGGAUUGUAGGCUGCAACUCGCCUACAUGAAGUCGGAAUCGCUAGUAAUCGCGGAUCAGCAUGCCGCGGUGAAUACGUUCCCGGGCCUUGUACACACCGCCCGUCACACCAUGAGAGUUUGUAACACCCAAAGUCGGUGGGGUAACCUUUUAGGAACCAGCCGCCUAAGGUGGGACAGAUGAUUAGGGG
rnacentral:rRNA from 3 species